CGGCUCGCACUGCGGCUGCCCAGCCUGGGGCUCUGGGAACUGUAGUCCCCCCCCCUUCUCUCCUUCUUCUGUCCGCCUCUUUCUGACGUGUGAUGGACGCUGCGGAGCCCUUCGAAGCCGCUAACUCCGGCCGAGGCAAGAAAGGAAGAAGACGAUGAGCAUCGCUGCUACGGAGUCUGACCCGGGCUGGCCGAAGAGCGGGGAUUUCCGUCAAGAAGACCAGGAAGUCUUGGAAUGAGACGAUCGUUGCCGUCGGGAAGGAAUACAGCAAAUUAACCUUUUGGGAGCGGGGACGUCUUCACUCUCCUCUCCUUGACCCGCAAACAGGAUGGACAGUUGCAAACAACCCUCCCCACACCAAAGGUUUGGCGCUGGAUGGAUACAUACUUCGAGGGCGAUUGCCACAAGAAGGCCGUUCCUUCUUUCUAGCCUUCCCUACAAAGGCUGCUUAUUGUGUGGGUGGUGGUACCUCACAUCUGGAGGCCUCCUUUGGAAGGAGGUAGAUAACAUCUGGGUGGCUUUUCUGAGGGAUGCUGCUUAUCUGGAUCCACUUUGUUCGGACUGCAGGUCUGGUUUUGGAAUGAGAACUGCCCAUCCUCUCUGCUAACUGUUGCUGUUAGUUCCUGCCUGGGUAACUGCAGCAUUUUAAAUACAUUCGAAUUACUGUAUUAUUGUAGCCUCUUGAGUCGUGGACGCUGCCCUGAUAACCCUAAGCAUUCACCCGAGCAAAGACUUAGCAAGCUCUUACUGAAUUUACUCUGCCUGCUGCCAAGCCUUCCACCAGUAGAGAGCUCUAAUGGGUUCAGACCAGCUCUAAAACCCACUCUGUCCUAACUCAAGCCCAAACCCACCCUCCAUCCAUGGCAAUUUGUUUUUGGACAGAAUUGCAUAUUGUUCAUUUCCCUUCUCCCGCUUUCUGGCUAGGCCCCUAAACCUCCAUCUUCUCUCCCUUGAUUCUGCAACAAUUCACCUUCUAGCCAAAUUCACUGGGUGAUUCUCUUUGAAACAAAUGUUCUAGCUUUUCAUCCUCUACACGGGCAGCUGAAUUAUUUGCAGACAUCCUCAACCAUCUUUACUUCUUGUUAAGGAGUAGUUUUUAUGCUAGUGUUGGUGGGACUUCCCACCAGAGGUGUUUUCAGGGAAGGCCAUGCCAAACCAAUAGGUGCAAUUGGAGAAUCAAAGCCUUCCCCCUUUUAAAUGCAGGCAAUGCAUGUAGCACAUGUUAAAAAGAGGUGUGGUCCCAAUUGCUCAAUUACACUCACUAUUUAGACAUUGAUGACCCAUCCUAGGGAUGCCCCUGCUCCCUGCAAUGCUGGUUCCAAAUGCUUUUGCUAUUUUUUUACCUUUCAUAUUACCAUUUAGUAAUAUCUUUUCCUGUCUUGCACUAACUUCUGCAAACACUGGGCUGUUUGUAUUUAUUUAUAUAUAAUGACAAAUUAGAACUGCUUGCUUGUCAAAGACACCGCAGCAUACAAGGAUUAAAAAAAACAUUAAAAACCCUAAUAAUAGAUGUUCAUCAGAGAUCAAGAAUUCCAUCAUCAAAUCCUACCAAUAAACUUGGACUGCUGCUUCAUUUUUUUUCUGCAGUUAUUGCCAUCUAACCAGGUAAUAAAUACUUCCAUUUUACAGUUGAAGAACACUGAAUUUGGAUCAAGCAAUAAUUGAUUGUGGGCAAAAAAAGGCAUAGAAGGAAAAUGAAGCAGGAAGGAAAGACAUAAUGUGAAGCCAAAAGAGUUCAUGGAGCCAUAGGAAGUAAAUUGUCAAGGCUCUGGAUAAGUUCUAAUGGAACCACAAAUUUACCAAGUUUUCCACGUCUCUUCUAUCUCUGAAAUUGUUUAGAAGCUCAUGACCCUACUGGCUUUUUUGGCAACUGAAGCAUACUGAUGACUCAUAUUUGAGUACAAAUGGUCCACAAGGAAGCUGAAUACUGAAGCUGAAGCUGAAAUACUUUGGCCACCUAACGAGAAGAGAGGACUCACUGGAAAAGACCCUGAGGCUGGGAAAGAUUACAGGUGUUGUGGCCCGCCAACGGCCUGUGCGGAUCGUGGCUGAUCCCGACAAUGAGGAGGCUGGUGUGGUGUCAUGCCAGCAGCCUGCACAGCUGGCGCUCGUGUCGGACAGCGAAGAGGCUGAAGAGGAUGUGGUGCCAGAGGCAGAGACUCAGCCAGGGCCUUCAGAACCUCCAGAAGCUCCUUCAAGUGGAGAGAGCGAAGUGGAGGAGCCUCUUCUCAAUGCUCAAGCACGCAGGGCUGCCAAAAGGCAGGAGUGGCUACUCAGGAGGAGGAGGUCUUCUCGAGAGUAAGGCUUGAGGAUAAUUGGCCACUUCCUUAGCCUAUUUAAAUCACACGCCGUUAGUAAGUUUCUUGCUGGAAACAACUUGUAAUUAUCAGAGCAUUUUUGGAAAAGUCUUACCGUAUCUUGUUUUCUGGGCUGGUUGCCAACCUUUGCCGGACUUUGGUUUAUUCUUGCUACUUAAUAAAUUUGAUAAGGACCGUUGGUGUGUGUCAAUAUCCUCGGGAAUCCGGAGCUGGGGCAGAAUCAGUAACACCAACUACAUUGUUUCUGUUUGUUCCCUAUAUACCAUGUACAGAGACAUUGGGACUUUUGGGUCAUAUAAUUAGACUUAUUCCUCCCUGUAUUUAAACAUCUGUACAGGGGUUCAUCCACACAGCUCCUCUGUCAUGUGUUCCUCCCAUCCUAGGGCUGGAAAAUAAUCAUGUUAGCAUAAAAUGUGCUGUCCACACUGUGUGGCCUUACCACCCAUGUGGAGCAAGGUCAUGCUGUGCUGCUGUCCAUGCGUGCAACAUUGUAAGAAUAGUGUUUGGUUCAUUUCUCUGGAUGAAAGUGAUGAUGAUAAUCAACCAUGGAAAAAGUUGCCACCAAUCACCAUACGGAACAUGUGCUUGUAGGAUGCAGGUGUUCUGCCCAAUCAUUUACCCCCAAAUCACUGUCAAUAUCUUUUCUUAAUGACCACUAGAUGGUAGCAAAGAAUUAGUUUCUUUCAAUUGCAACUCAAUUGCAGCAUAUAUAUUCUUGGAAUAAGAGUUCAAGAAAGAGGUUUAGUGCGUGUGGGGAAAAAAAGUGUCACCUAUGGAGGGCUGUGAGAUGCACCCACAUAAUGUUUUCAAAAUGUUCACUGACUUGUCACAGAGCUGCUCUGAGAGUGAGAUGGAUGGAGUCUCUAAAUUUAAUAAAAAAACAAAGAAAUAAAUAAAUUGACUUCAUCUUCAUUCUAGCCAUUGUCCAUCCACUGCACCUCUUCUGCAUAUUUCCAGUCAAUAUGGUCUUUAACUUUCUUUUGCCAAUUGGGCCUGCAAUACUUGCUGAAGUCAUCACUCCAUCUUGUUUUAGGUUAUGUGGAUACUUUUUUUUAUCAAGUGGGUUCCAUUCUGUAACUGCCUUAGUUCACCUGCCAUCAGUUCUUCUUCAGAGGUGGGUUUCAGCAGGUUCUGACCAGUUCUGGAGAACCGGUAGCAGAAAUUUUGAGUAGUUCAGAGAACCGGUAGUAAAAAUUCUGACUGGCCCUGCCCCCACCUAUUCUCUGCCUCCCAGCUGAUCGGGAGGAAAUGGGGAUUUUGCAGUAACCUUCCCCUGGAUUGGGGAGGGAAUGGAGAUUUUAUAGUAUCUUUCCCCUGCCAUGCCCACCAAGCCACGCUCACCAAGCCAUACCCACAGAACCGGUAGUAAAAAAUUUUGAAACCCACCACUGUUCUUGCUAUAUGACCAGUCCAUUUCCAUUUUAAUUCUUUUAUUCUCAUGAUGAUAUCAUAUUGACCUAUUAGCUACUAAGUGGAAGCAAAAUGUUUUAAUCUUAAAUUAUUUAGCUUUUAAUGUUAUUUAUUAAAUUGUACACCUCCUAGAGCCCCUCUGUGAGGGAGAUGGACAGUUAAGAAGUGUGAUAUAUAAAUAGAUGUAAAUAAAGACUUUUUUGUCGUUUUUGGUAGGUA